rnacentral:rRNA from 1 species
CCUACGGGAGGCAGCAGUGAGGAAUAUUGGUCAAUGGGCGAGAGCCUGAACCAGCCAAGUCGCGUGAGGGAGUACUGCCCUAUGGGUUGUAAACCUCUUUUGUCGGGGAGCAAAAGCCGGACGUGUCCGGCUGUGAGAGUACCCGACGAAAAAGCAUCGGCUAACUCCGUGCCAGCAGCCGCGGUCAUACGGAGGAUGCGAGCGUUAUCCGGAUUUAUUGGGUUUAAAGGGUGCGCAGGCGGAUUUUUAAGUCAGCGGUAAAAUCGUGGGGCUCAACCCCAUCCAGCCGUUGAAACUGGGGAUCUAGAGUGUGCGAGAGGUAUGCGGAAUGCGUGGUGUAGCGGUGAAAUGCAUAGAUAUCACGCAGAACCCCGAUUGCGAAGGCAGCAUACCGGUGCACAACUGACGCUCAGGCACGAAAGCGUGGGUAUCGAACAGGAUUAGAUACCCCAGUAGUC